UUGUUUACCACGGACAUAAUCUGUGCUAGAAUCAUACACGCUUAACUAAAAUUUUGUGAGGAGGCGGGACACAAGAAUUUUGCCAAAUUUCAAACAUUUGUAAAAUUUGAAAAUUUCACAACACUCUUGAAAACUUCUCAAAAUAUAUUGGUUUAUCCCAUCCCAUCAACUAGCUAGUUCCUGCAAGACUCCCCUCCCCAGAAUUUGAACGCCUGCUAAAGCCCCCGCCCCCCGCCCCCCGCCCCUUGCUCGAUCUCUCUUAUUCUUCUUCUCCGACCCCAAACCCAUUUUCUCUCUCUGCAAUCUGGGUCCCCUACAUCUUCUUCUUCGCCUUGUUUGCAUACACUUUUAGAAUCCUAUUUUUUCUAAUUUUUUGGGCGUCUCAUUAUUCCCAAUCUACUAGAUCUCCGUCUUCUCCUCCAAUUAGAGAUCACGAGAUCUCGCCGGUGUCUGGUUUGGAGAAUACGAUUUCAGAUGGGUCUCUUUUCACUGGGGAUCAAAGGAGGCAACAACUUCUGAAGCUCAAGCAUUCGAGGCAGUGUUUCACUCUCAAAGUCCUUUGUUUAGAGGUGUUCAAAUAAAAAUGAAGUGUUCAAGUAACUAUGUCUUGGUUAUUGGAGGUCUAUUUGGUACUUCAUAUAUAAAUUGAUAUUUCUUAGUAUAACUCAGUGAUUUUUGUUCUUUCUUUGCUUAGUGUACAACUUGUAACUUGAAUCUUUGAUCAUUUAGGUAAUUAUUAUAUUGUAGUAAAUGUACGAGUUUGUAUAUAAAUAUUAAGUAUUUAUAUAUAUUAUAUUUCUUAAAUAGUUUUUUUAUUAUUA